rnacentral:rRNA from 1 species
UACAGAGGGUGCAAGCGUUAAUCGGAAUUACUGGGCGUAAAGCGUGCGUAGACGGUCAUGUAAGUCGGGUGUGAAAGCCCCGGGCUCAACCUGGGAAUUGCAUUCGAGACUGCAUGGCUAGGAUGCGGAAGAGGGAAGCGGAAUUUCGGGUGUAGCGGUGAAAUGCGUAGAUAUCCGAAGGAACAUCAGUGGCGAAAGCGGCUUCCUGGACCAGAACUGACGAUCAGGCACGAAAGCGUGGGGAGCAAACAGGG